UACGGAGGGGGCAAGCGUUGUUCGGAAUUACUGGGCGUAAAGGGCGCGUAGGCGGCGAUCCGAGUCAGAUGUGAAAGUCCUGGGCUUAACCUGGGGACUGCAUUUGAUACUGGAUUGCUUGAAUUCGGGAGAGGAUAGCGGAAUUCCCAGUGUAGAGGUGAAAUUCGUAGAUAUUGGGAAGAACACCGGUGGCGAAGGCGGCUAUCUGGACCGACAUUGACGCUGAGGCGCGAAAGCGUGGGGAGCAAACAGG
rnacentral:rRNA from 1 species